AAUGAACGCUGGCGGCAUGCCUAACACAUGCAAGUCGAACGAAGGCUUCGGCCUUAGUGGCGCACGGGUGCGUAACGCGUGGGAAUCUGCCCUUGGGUUCGGAAUAACAGUUAGAAAUGACUGCUAAUACCGGAUGAUGUCGUAAGACCAAAGAUUUAUCGCCCAAGGAUGAGCCCGCGUAGGAUUAGCUAGUUGGUGGGGUAAAGGCCUACCAAGGCGACGAUCCUUAGCUGGUCUGAGAGGAUGAUCAGCCACACUGGGACUGAGACACGGCCCAGACUCCUACGGGAGGCAGCAGUGGGGGAUAUUGGACAAUGGGCGAAAGCCUGAUCCAGCAAUGCCGCGUGAGUGAUGAAGGCCUUAGGGUUGUAAAGCUCUUUUACCCGGGAUGAUAAUGACAGUACCGGGAGAAUAAGCUCCGGCUAACUUCGUG
rnacentral:rRNA from 1 species